GGACCCGCACAAGUAGUGGAGCAUGUGGUUUAAUUCGAUGCAACGCGAAGAACCUUACCAGGGUUUGACAUCCUGCGAAUCUCUUGGAAACGAGAGAGUGCCUUCGGGACCGCAGUGACAGGUGGUGCAUGGCUGUCGUCAGCUCGUGUCGUGAGAUGUUGGGUUAAGUCCCGCAACGAGCGCAACCCACGUCUUUAGUUGCCAGCAUUUAGUUGGGCACUCUAGAGAGACCGCCGGUGAUAAACCGGAGGAAGGUGUGGAUGACGUCAAGUCAUCAUGCCCCUUACAUCCUGGGCUACACACGUACUACAAUGCUACGGACAAAGAGCAGCAAGUUCGCGAGGACAAGCAAAUCUCAUAAACCGUGGCUCAGUUCAGAUCGUAGGCUGCAACUCGCCUACGUGAAGGAGGAAUCGCUAGUAAUCGC
rnacentral:rRNA from 1 species